UAGUGGCGCACGGGUGCGUAACACGUAACUAACCUACCUAUACCUGGGGGAUAACCCGCCGAAAGGCGGAUUAAUACCGCAUAAGCUGUUUGCCUGGCAUCAGGCGAUUAGUAAAGAUUUAUUGGGUAUAGAUGGGGUUGCGGGUCAUUAGCUAGUUGGUUGGGUAACGGCUGACCAAGGCGACGAUGACUAGGGGAGCUGAGAGGCUGGUCCCCCACACGGGCACUGAGAUACGGGCCCG
rnacentral:rRNA from 1 species